rnacentral:tRNA from 1 species
GGUGGCUCAGUGGUAGAGCACUUGCCUUGCACUCAUGAGGCCCUGGGUUCGAUUCCCCAGCACCA